GAUGAACGCUAGCGGCAGGCCUAACACAUGCAAGUCGAGGGGCAGCACAGAAACAGCAAUGUUUUGGUGGCGACCGGCGGACGGGUGCGUAACGCGUCUGCAACCUACCUUUAACAGGGGGAUAACGGAGAGAAAUUUCCACUAAUACCCCAUAACAUCGAUCAAGGCAUCUUGAUUGGUUGAAAACUCCGGUGGUUAAAGAUGGGCAUGCGUUGUAUUAGGUAGUUGGUGAGGUAAUGGCUCACCAAGCCUACGAUACAUAGGGGGACUGAGAGGUUAGCCCCCCACACUGGUACUGAGACACGGACCAGACCCCUACGGGAGGCAGCAGUGAGGAAUAUUGGUCAAUGGGGGCAACCCUGAACCAGCCAUGCCGCGUGCAGGAAGACGGCUCUAUGAGUUGUAAACUGCUUUUAAACAGGGAUAAAGCACAGUAUGUAUACUGUGUUGAAGGUACUGUAAGAAUAAGGAUCGGCUAACUCCGUGCCAGCCGCCGCAGUAA
rnacentral:rRNA from 1 species